rnacentral:lncRNA from 1 species
AACAACCAAUAAUAAAACCAAAUAAAAUUAAACAGUUCAAGUCAAAGUCCAUUUACAUCAGGGUUAAAUCAAUUAAACCCAUUACAAGCGCAAAAAUAAAAAAAAUAGAAACCCAACUUUCCUAAAAACCCUAGGAGGCCCAAAUGGCCCAAAACUAUAAACAUUUUCAGCACAAAAAAAACCCUAGCCUCUUUGCCCUAGUCGCCGCAUCCCCUGCUCCACCUCGCGACGUCAACGCCGUCGUACCACCCUCGUGCAUCCACGACCUUCUCCGUACUUGCAAGGACAACAACAGAAGACACAAAAGAAAAAAAAACAAUAGCAAAACACUGUAUUUAUUUAUUUUUAUUAUUUUCGGCUAUAAAAGCCAUGGACAAAGGAAUGUAACUAGUUAGUUUUUAUAUUUAGAAAGACGGAUACAUAGCAAAGAAUUAAAAACAGAGAGCAAAAGUUUUGAAAAUGUGCUUUUUCUAUUCUAUAUAUAUUUUUUUAUUUUUGUGCUUUUAUCUUAUUUUUUUUAACAAAAGAAAGAAUAAAAAGAAAAAAGAAAAAAUCUUACCUUUCUUGCGUGUGUGCCGCUGUGGGAGGUUGACGUCCGUCGUUUUCAAUGAAAAACGAUGUUUUUUUUGGGGUCUGAGAAGUAAAAAACACAAAAAAGGACUUUUUGUCUUCCGGCCACCGUGUACGGCGGCGCCGUCGUCGGUGACUGGCGGCCGUCACGGUGGUCUGGUGACCGGAGAUGGCCAAAUUGUUGAAAGGGGGGAGAGAAUUGAGAGG